GGCGGCGUGCUUACACAUGCAAGUCGUGGGCACCAGCAAUGGUGACCGGCGAACGGGUGCGUAACACGUGAGCGACCUACCGAUUUGUGGGGGAUAGCCGGCCCAACGGCCGGGUAAUACCGCAUACGCCAAGUGGACCGCAUGGUCCGUUUGGGAAACCUCCGGGGCAAAUCGAGGGGCUCGCGGCCUAUCAGCUAGUUGGCGGGGUAAUGGCCCACCAAGGCAUCGACGGGUAGCUGGUCUGAGAGGAUGGCCAGCCACAUUGGGACUGAGAAACGGCCCAGACUCCUACGGGAGGCAGCAGUGGGGAAUCUUGCGCAAUGGCCGAAAGGCUGACGCAGCGACGCCGCGUGUGGGAUGAAGCUCUUCGGGGUGUAAACCACUGUUGCCCGGGACGAACGGCGAGAUUUAUCUCGCGUGACGGUACCGGGUGAGGAAGCACCGGCUAACUCCGUGCCAGCAGCCGCGGUAAUACGGAGGGUGCGAGCGUUGUCCGGAAUCACUGGGCGUAAAGGGCGCGUANGCGGCUCGUGCAAGCGGGCGG
rnacentral:rRNA from 1 species